rnacentral:rRNA from 1 species
AUACGGAGGAUGCAAGCGUUAUCCGGAUUUAUUGGGUUUAAAGGGUGCGUAGGCUGUUGUGUAAGUCAGGGGUGAAAUGCCGUCGCUCAACGACGGAGCUGCCUUUGAUACUGCAUGGCUGGAGUGCGGAUGCCGUUGGAGGAAUGAGUGGUGUAGCGGUGAAAUGCUUAGAUAUCACUCAGAACACCGAUUGCGAAGGCAUCUGAGCAUUCCGAGACGCAGGGGGAGGAAAGAAAGCGUGGGAAAAAAGCAGAAUUAGAUUCCCUGUUAUUCCCCGCCGUAAACGAUGAUGACUAUCCGCCUGCGAUACAGUGUAGGUGGCCAAGCGAAAGCGAUAAGUCAUCCACCUGGGGAGUACGACCGCAAGGUUGAAACUCAAAGGAAUUGGCGGGG